GUGCUCACUUUGACAGCACAUUUACUAAAAUUGGAAUGAUACAGAAAAGAUUAACAUGUUCCUUAUGCAAGGGUGACAUGAAAUUUUGUGAAAUAUUUGAUAACUUG